rnacentral:pre_miRNA from 1 species
ACUACCUGUUUAUGUUCAACGUUUAUAGUCUUCUUAUUCGAAAAAUUGUUAUGAUUAGUAUUUUUAUUGUUAUUUGAUGAUAAAACAUAAAUAGUAUUUUUUUUAAUUUUUUUCAUAAAUCCUUCGAAUAAGACGGACGGUCAAACAUUAUACAUGAAUAUCCACAGCUGUGCUUAUU